rnacentral:rRNA from 1 species
UGGGGAAUUUUGGACAAUGGGGGCAACCCUGAUCCAGCCAUCCCGCGUGUGCGAUGAAGGCCUUCGGGUUGUAAAGCACUUUUGGCAGGAAAGAAACGUCAUGGGUUAAUACCCCGUGAAACUGACGGUACCUUCAGAAUAAGCACCGGCUAACUACGUGCCAGCAGCCGCGGUAAUACGUAGGGUGCAAGCGUUAAUCGGAAUUACUGGGCGUAAAGCGUGCGCAGGCGGUUCGGAAAGAAAGAUGUGAAAUCCCAGAGCUCAACUUUGGAACUGCAUUUUUAACUACCGGGCUAGAGUGUGUCAGAGGGAGGUGGAAUUCCGCGUGUAGCAGUGAAAUGCGUAGAUAUGCGGAGGAACACCGAUGGCGAAGGCAGCCUCCUGGGAUAACACUGACGCUCAUGCACGAAAGCGUGGGGAGCAAACAGG